rnacentral:lncRNA from 1 species
CCUGCCUCAUCAAGGUAUGGCCAGCUAGGCAGGGCAAGCUCAAACCCCUUUCUCCAGGUCAUUCUACUCCUCAGUCACCUUCAACGGUCUUCCUCUUCCAGGCAGCUCUCCUAGGUUACCUAGGAAUAAAGCCUGAAGAAUAGCACCAUUUAAAAUCUUCCUUGGCAGCCGGGCGCUAUGGCUUAUGCCUGUAAUCCCACCCCACCUCUACUAAAAAUACAAAAAUUAGCUGGGCAUG